CCUUUAUGUGCAGCAGCCGUAGUUGAUGUCAUCACCCAUCCUCUAAUGGGCAGGAAUUUACUCUGCACUGUGCCAAACAGAAAUUUGUAUUUUUCAGAUAUGUGGCAUAACGAUGCCUAACAUCAAACAGGGGAUGUUCUAAUACAUAUUUUUGCUUACUAUGAGAAGAAGGUUUCAAUAUAUUUACAAACUAAUUGAUCAGUCCUUCAGAGGCUUCCAGGUUCAGCCGUGGUCAUCACGAGUACAAGCUGAUAAGAGCAACAACUGUAUGGAGCAUUGCAGGUUCUGUGAAUUGUGCUAAUAAAUAAUGGGUUAACAAGCAUGCCAUUGUCAGCAUUGAGUUCAUCUCCUGUUUACUCUUCCUGCUAUUCCAAGAAGAUUUGGAGAGGAAGGUUGUUUGUUCUUCCUGCCAUUCCAAGAAGAUCUGGAGAGGAAGGCUGAGGUGCUCUAGAAGAAAAUAUUUCUACUUUGGGGCCAUGUAAAUCACAGAAUCAAGUUAGCAUAAAUUAUUGGGAGCUCAUGAUUCUUUUUUGGACUAAUUUCAGGUUUCCACACUGAUACAACAUGAUUGACUAAUUUCAGCAGAAGGCACUGCAAGAUCCCAGAACAAGACGCUCGAGAAACGGGAUCGGCGGCAGCAAGGACACGAGGGCCGGAGGGGAGGAGCAACCAGAUGGAGGUGCGUGGUCAACCAUUCCCCUUUAGUUCAUGACUGCAGGCUAGGCGUCCGAACAAACAAAUUGAGCUGUAAAGGUGUAAAGAGUAGCCUAGACAAUCCUGUAAUUGUGUUUGAUGGGAUGGCUUGUCCAAAGUUAAACGAAAGAAUCAAUAUUGUUCUCUCUUCGUAAUCGCAUUGAAUCGUCUCUUUGGGCUGUUGUAAUACUUCAUUCGGAAGGGUAUUCUUCACCCGCAGGUUGCUCACAGAUAAUGCUGCUUUACUACGUUAGUUGCAGGUCACUUACUUUGCACAUACAUUGGAUUCAAACAUUGGCAGGCUUUGACUGAGCCUCUCGUUUGGAAUGUUGGUGGUAGGUUCCAAGAUGAGGCUCAAGAUGGAUAAUAUCUUUUGUUCUUCUAUUUUCAAUUUUUUUUGCUUCAUUUUCAUGUAUUCUUCUGCUCCUAAAUAAAGUUAUUUUUUCAUCUAUUGGUCUCUUAAAGCUAAGUUCGUUAGUUAGCAUUAGAAUUAUAAGGCCUUCUUUACAGUGCUGCAGUUUUUAGGUUUGUAGGUUGAGUAUUCUGGCCAUAUUUGCAUAAGAUGUUUCCGAAGUGAUCCAGGGGAUUCGAGAAUUCCACGCCGUGCAGGUUGAAUUUUGAUUGACCCAAGAUAUAUGCAGCAGAAUGCAUUGGUUAGGUGCGUGCUAGCGAGUUGCAUGCAGAAGAUGGGGGUUUUGUCCCACAUCGCCAACACAAGGCAUGAGCGAUCAGCUUAUAAGCGGGGGUUGUCGCUAUUAUUUUGAAAUUUUAAAACACGCACACUUGAGAAAUCGUCCUUGCAGAUCAGGUCCAUUUCUAGGUUCCUCACGUGUUGAGCCCGAUGAGGGCCCUUACCCCUCCAUAAGCAAUUUUUUUUACAAUCUUUUAAGCAUUUUCUUUUGCAGCAAUAAUAUCUUCCUUCCUUGCAGCUGUCACGGUGAUUCAUGCCCGUGUCCGUGUGGAGAUCUAACAAAAAUAGAAACUAUUUUUGCUCCCCAUACUUAAGUGCGUGUAUCUAUAUACAUUCAAAACUUGUAACUAGGGUGGAGAUAUUUGAAUUAAUGAGUUCCCUAAGAAGCAGCACAUACCAAAUUUAUUUAUGAUAAUUUUAGUAGUUCAUUUGAUGUAAUCCAAUUAUUUUAAGUAAUUUUGCUUUUUAAACACGUGCCACGUGUGUGCAUGCUGAAUGUUGUCACUUAUUAUGAAUUUACUUUAUGAAGACUCUUAUCAAUUUCAAAUAUCUGAAAUUUGAUGUCUCCUUACAAGAUGUAGAUGCUGAAUUUGAGCUUACAAGAAAGGUGGAUAAUGGAAAUAGGUUUGCAGAGAUUACCCAAAACAUUACCAACAUUACUGCAAAUGUGACAUCUGGAUGGAGCAUUUUGAAGGAAGAAUUCACAUUUCCAGCUAGGAGUACCCCUUUCAAUAGUUAUCAUGCUUCCACUAUUGUACAGAUUGAUGAAGGCUAUUUUUUGGUGGCAUAUUUUGGUGGAUCCAUGGAAGGUGCUCUGGAUGUCAAAAUUUGGUUGUAGUGAUAUAGUGUGGGUUCAAUUCAUCAAGUAUACUCAGUUUUUUUUAUGU